UACUUUCCAUGUUUCAAGCACGUCUUUCGACGGCCUCAGCAUAUAAAAUCCAUUACAUAACUAGGGAUAAAAGUGAAGAGUCUCGUUUUCGUGUGUUUAUGAACCUCGGCUACACCUCUGAUCAGCAAAAUUCACACAAAAACUCUACUUUUCAUCUUUUUGUUUCUAGACAUGCAAUAGU